UACGGAGGGAGCUAGCGUUGUUCGGAAUUACUGGGCGUAAAGGGCUCGUAGGCGGCCAACUAAGUCAGACGUGAAAUCCCUCGGCUUAACCGAGGAACUGCCCUCCAAACUGCUUGGCUUGAGUCCGGGAGAGGUGAGUGGAAUUCCCAGUGUAGCGGUGAAAUGCGUAGAUAUUGGGAGGAACACCAGUGGCGAAGGCGGCUCACUGGACCGGAACUGACGCUGAGGCGCGAAAGCGUGGGGAGCAAACGGG
rnacentral:rRNA from 1 species